rnacentral:rRNA from 1 species
AGGGCACCACCAGGAGUGGAGCCUGCUGCUUAAUUUGACUCAACACGGGAAAACUCACCCGGCCCGGACACUGGAAGGAUUGACAGAUUGAGAGCUCUUUCUUGAUUCAGUGGGUGGUGGUGCAUGGCCGUUCUUAGUUGGUGGAGUGAUUUGUCUGGUUAAUUCCGAUAACGAACGAGACCCUAGCCUAUUAAAUAGAUCGUUGGCUUACAAACGCCGGCGAGACUUCUUAGAGGGACAGGCGGCGAUUCAGCCGCACGAAACAGAGCAAUAACAGGUCUGUGAUGCCCUUAGAUGUCCGGGGCCGCACGCGCGCUACACUGAAGUGAUCAGCGUGCAUUUUGAAACCUACUCUGUCAAGAGUGGGGAACCCAAUGAACCUUCUUCGUGAUUGGGAUAGGGGAUUGUAAUUAUUCCCCUUGAACGAGGAAUUCCCAGUAAGCGCGAAUCAUAAGUUUGCGCUGAUUACGUCCCUGCCCUUUGUACACACCGCCCGUCGCUACUACCGAUUGAAUGUUU